CCAGCAUGCCGCGUGAGUGAAGAAGGCCUUCGGGUUGUAAAGCUCUUUUGUCAGGGAAGAAACGGCGGUUUCUAAUACAGAUCGGUAAUGACGGUACCUGAAGAAUAAGCACCGGCUAACUACGUGCCAGCAGCCGCGGUAAUACGUAGGGUGCAAGCGUUAAUCGGAAUUACUGGGCGUAAAGCGUGCGCAGGCGGUUUUGUAAGUCUGUCGUGAAAUCCCCGGGCUCAACCUGGGAAUUGCGAUGGAGACUGCUAGGCUGGAGUUUGGCAGAGGGGGGUAGAAUUCCACGUGUAGCAAUGAAAUGCGUAGAUAUGUGGAGGAACACCGAUGGCGAAGGCAGCCCCCUGGGUCAGGACUGACGCUCAUGCACGAAAGCGUGGGGAGCAAACAGGAUUAGAUACCCUGGUAGUCCACGCCCUAAACGAUGUCUACUAGUUGUCGGGUCUUAAUUGACUUGGUAACGCAGCUAACGCGUGAAGUGGACCGCCUGGGGAGUACGGUCGCAAGAUUAAAACUCAAAGGAAUUGACGGGGACCCGCACAAGCGGUGGAUGAUGUGGAUUAAUUCGAUGCAACGCGAAAAACCUUACCUACCCUUGACAUGGCUGGAAUCCCUGAUAGAUUG
rnacentral:rRNA from 1 species